ACAGCAGCCGCCACGGUAAUACGAAGGGGGCUAGCGUUGUUCGGAAUUACUGGGCGUAAAGCGCACGUAGGCGGAUAUUUAAGUCAGGGGUGAAAUCCCGCAGCUCAACUGCGGAACUGCCUUUGAUACUGGGUAUCUUGAGUAUGGAAGAGGUUAGUGGAAUUGCGAGUGUAGAGGUGAAAUUCGUAGAUAUUCGCAGGAACACCAGUGGCGAAGGCGGCUAACUGGUCCAUAACUGACGCUGAGGUGCGAAAGCGUGGGGAGCAAACAGGAUUAGAUACCCGAGUAGUCCCUGUCUCUUAUAC
rnacentral:rRNA from 1 species